AAGGAGGACUUGGCAGUAUGGAUGGUUUUCUUAGAUGGGUACAAUGGCAGGUCCUAUUGGCAACAACCAGAGGUGUUGAAUUCUGUGCUACACCUGUUUACUGAUGCGGCAGGAGCAUCAGGAUUUGGGGCUAUCUUAGGGACGCAAUGGUGCGCGGAACCUUGGCCUGAGGCUUGGGUUGCUGCUGGCCUUACCAAAAAUAUGGCCCUCCUUGAGCUCUUCCCCAUCGUGGUGGCAGUUCAUUUGUGGGGAAUGGAGUUCAGGGACCGGCGCGUCGUCUUCCAUUGCGAUAACUUGGGG